AAAAAAAAUUCUUGUCUUUUCUCACCCUAACAAGCUAAAGUUCAACGUCCAAUUCUAAAUUCAUUCUUCUUGCGUUAAAUUUUACAUAUGAAAAUCACAAAUUGCUUGAUGUUUCACACUAUAAAAGCAUUGGUGGGUUGGUUGGCCCGUUUGUCCUGCACGACGACUACAGGGGGAAGCAAUAACAAUUUUCACCAGAUCAUCUCUUUUAAAUGGGCAACCAAGCAAUACAGGAUAGGUAUGUUAGGAAUGUAGUAAUAAGUUAUGUAAUGUGUUGACCAUGUGGUUUUGUAACUCGUUAGUAGAUAGUAAGGGUUUGACCAUAUAAAGAGAGCAAGCAGUUGUCGUUGGAAUUGGAGACUAAAAACACAAUUAUUUUUCUCUAUAAAGUUUCUCAACCAAUAUUACCCUCUCGUUUCUUUGGCUUCUUUUUCUAAUGAGCUUUUCCUUGAGGUGAAGGAAUGCAAUAUAUGUUCCCACAAACUCAUAGCCAAUCUCUUGAUGUACUAAAAUUGAGUGCAAAGUUAGGUGAUCAUUAGUAUGAUCUACCUUCCAUUAUUAAGUAUUUAGAUUUUUGUGCACAUCAAUAGCAGUUUCUAUACACUUGUACAGUGUUCCAUAUUCUUCAUAUCCAUAUAGACAUCUAUAUCUCUCCAUAUCAGUAUAGAAUCUUGCACACUAGACUAGCUCACACCAUAAUAGCAUAUCCAAGAAUAUUCUAUGUAGGUAAAUUACAUCAAUGACACCGAACUUUUACUUGGUCAUUUAACUUCAAUUUGUAUAAACUUUGAUUAUUUUUUCAAUGGGAGGUUAUCUAUUGCAAUCCGGUGACUGGAAGUAUUAGCAUGACACUGAAAAUGAAAUUUUUGAUUUUUAAAAAAAUUGCAUUUUCUCUCGAAAGCUAAUUUGGGAUAUACCUAUCAAUUUUGUUAGCAAAUAAUGUCCACUCAAAUGAAACAAGUUGAAAAAGAAAAAGGGUAAACGAAAUCACUCUACAUUGUAUUAAUUUUCUUCUUCCUCUCUCUCCAUUAUUCUUUCAUAGCCAUCCUUUUUUUAUGAAAUAUUCUAUGUCUAACAUUAUUCCAGUGAAUUCUCAUUGAAAUCAAAGUUUAGUGACUAUAACAUAAGAUAUCAAACUUAAGAAUUUUAUUGAUACUAAGUAUAUAGUUUGGUGACCAUUGUGUAUUUUACCCAUUCUACACCAUUAUGCUUAACUUCUCAAGCUUUUAAAACAUUUUGGAACUUCCAAACCGUUCUAUACUAGAGCAUUGUUAGACCUUUCCAGACUGUUGUAGAGCACUCUUGAUUACCCCAUCAUCUUGGUAACCAGAGGUGGGGCCAAAAACAGAGUAGAGAUUACCCCCCAAUAGUAAUUUUCUUGCACAACAAUGACAUGAAGUAGUCAUCAACUUCUUUUUCCACUCUAAUGAACUUCCAUCAGCAUAAUGUCUGCUUCUCUAGAUAUAAACCCUAAAAUGCUCAGUCAACUGCUUUGAUGCUAUAAAAUAAUAACCGAAUCUCAAAACUAGUAGCACAAUAAUUAUUUUAUUUGAGAUGUGUGUUCACUAACAUUACUGAAUUCUUGUUAUAAUUAUUUAUAAUUGGGCUUUUUGAGUCCUAUUUCUGUAGCUUUGUUAAAAGUGUGUUUGCUGUAAUUGUAAAUACAAGCUUAUCAGUACAAAUAAUGUGUUUCUGUAAUUUGCUUGUUAGAUAAUUGAAUAAUCCAAAUCAGAUAUUUUUCCUCUUAUCUCUGUUCUAAGUCUCUCUCUUUUUCCUAUCGAUCUAUAACCUUUUCUUUUUCUCUCGUCGUACCUGCUGAUUUUCUCAGCAUGCAAACAUCUCCUUUCCGUCUCUAAAUUCUCUGGUUAGCAAAUAAUAACUAGACUAGGCCCUAAGUCCUAAUUCUCCCCCCCGUGGCUGUCAAUACUUCAGAAUGCUAACUUGUCAUUGUUCCGAAUUGCUAGAGUUUCCACCAAACAAUCUUCUAUUCACUUCUUUCUCACAUUUUCUUGGCAUCCCAUCAGGUCCUUUUGUGGAAUGUUAACUUGUUGCAUUUUCUUGAUAAUGGAACAAGCAAGAAUUGCGGAAUGUUUUUUUUGUAUAUGAAUGUAAUAGAAAUAAGUGGAAAAUGUUGUGAUAUUUGUGAAGAUUGAUUUUUCGUUUUCAAAGUAGUUUGGUGUUAGAGAAGUUAUAGAAGUGGUGAUUUCGAUAGUGGUAAAGAUUUAAAGCAGAAAUAUAUUGUAAGGUGAAAAAGAGACAGAAGGUAAUACAAAGAAAGGGAGGAGGUGAUGGAGAUGAAACAGAUGAAUGAAGUCAGUGGAAUAAUAAUAAGCAACAGCAAUGGAGAAUUAAAUUUUCUAAUUAUAAAUACAUAAAAAGUUAGAGAUAUUUAGUAACUUAAUUACAUAAUAAGUUUUAAACUACAAAUAUGUUCCAUUAAUAACAUUUCAAAAUAAGAUUCUACUAUAGAAAAAAGCAACAAUUUAAAAGCAAGACCUAAUAAAUAUGUGAAUUAUUUAUUCUUUAUAUUUAAAUUAUAAACCAAAUUAAGUUAACUGAAAUAAUUCAUAAUUACACACAUAUAUAUUUGAUAUUAUUUAUGGCUUGGGUCGGGUUUGAAGGUUCAUUAGUGAGCCUUUGACCCAAUUCAAUCAAUGAAUUAUAAAGAUGACCUGACCAACCCAACCCAUUAUAUUUCAAACCCAGGUUGGGUUGGGUCACUCAAAUUAGGUCGGGUUAUAACAUGUCGUGUGCAGCCCUAUUUAUAGGGGUAAAAGUAAUCUAGUUUAGUAUUUUUCGCAAGUAAAUCCAUCCAAAUAUAUUUGGUAAGAACUAAUUUGUUCGUUCAGGAACUUAAUUGUGAAAAAAAAAAAAAAAACUUGAAUGCAAUUAUUUU